rnacentral:rRNA from 1 species
AUACGGAGGAUCCGAGCGUUAUCCGGAUUUAUUGGGUUUAAAGGGAGCGUAGGCGGACUAUUAAGUCAGUUGUGAAAGUUUGCGGCUCAACCGUAAAAUUGCAGUUGAAACUGGCAGUCUUGAGUACAGUAGAGGUGGGCGGAAUUCGUGGUGUAGCGGUGAAAUGCUUAGAUAUCACGAAGAACUCCGAUUGCGAAGGCAGCUCACUAGACUGUUACUGACACUGAUGCUCGAAAGUGUGGGUAUCAAACAGGAUUAGAUACCCUGGUAGUCCACACAGUAAACGAUGAAUACUCGCUGUUUGCGAUAUACAGUAAGCGGCCAAGCGAAAGCAUUAAGUAUUCCACCUGGGGAGUACGCCGGCAACGGUGAAACUCAAAUGAAUUGGCGGGG